rnacentral:rRNA from 1 species
UUCGCCAUUUAAAGUGGUACGCGAGCUGGGUUUAGAACGUCGUGAGACAGUUCGGUCCCUAUCUGCCGUGGGCGCUGGAGAACUGAGGGGGGCUGCUCCUAGUACGAGAGGACCGGAGUGGACGCAUCACUGGUGUUCGGGUUGUCAUGCCAAUGGCACUGCCCGGUAGCUAAAUGCGGAAGAGAUAAGUGCUGAAAGCAUCUAAGCACGAAACUUGCCCCGAGAUGAGUUCUCCCUGACUCCUUGAGAGUCCUGAAGGAACGUUGAAGACGACGACGUUGAUAGGCCGGGUGUGUAAGCGCAGCGAUGCGUUGAGCUAACCGGUACUAAUGAACCGUGAGGCUUAACCUUACAACGCCGAAGGUGUUU